ensembl:lncRNA
CCAGGCUCCCGUCCCUGUCGGGCCACCGGGUCGCUAGCUUGUCCGGAGCCAUCCGUCCUUGCGCACCUUUCGGUCUCGAGCGGUGGCCCGCGAGGCGGGGACAUGGGCUCCGAGACACAUCUGGCCCGUCACUACCAUUGCUGGUUCUGUGAUGCCCGUCGGCCUCUGGCUGGUGGCAUCUGUUGCGUUGGUAUCUCAGCUCCGACGGCCCAGCCUCGUCGUCCCUUGUCCGGGCCCUGGGCUUGCUCUCUGCAGACAAGGUCUCGACCGAGCUGACCCUACUGGCGUCGAGGGCCGACAGCUAGGCUGGACCACGGCUAGAGAGAGAUCCCGAGGCAGCCUUGUCGGGAGCCACUGUGGGCUGCCCUGGGCCACCAUGAUCCCCACGGGGAAGGCCCAGGGCGGGGAGGAACCUGGGGCCUGAGCCUCCAAGGAGAGCAUGGCCAAGCGACCUGUGCUUGUCCUGGACCUCCUCCCACUGUGCCCGGGACUCAGGCAUGUGGCUUGGACAGCCCUACCGCUAGAGCUGUGAAAGGUGGGUCACCCCCAAGCCUCAAAACCCAGGCUGAAGGUUGCCAAGGCAGCGCUCUCCUGCACCCAUGUCAUUGAGGAAGACCAGAGGGGCUGAAAGGGAGCAAGGGCCCUCCACGCUUUUCGAAAACCACUCCCAGCUCUGCUCAGGAAAACUGCUGCCACCUCAGGGUUGAGGCUGACAGCUCAUUCUCAGGGGUCAGAGGGGUCGGCAGCACUUGGUGUUAAUGCCACACAGUGAGUCCCAGACAGAAAAAGCACAUGCUUUCCCCUUCACGACUUCACUGUUUAAAGGAACUAGUGAAAGCAGUCUGUUCAACACAAAAGGCCCUGGCUUCUGCCUCAGAGCUGCUCCUCCGACUGGAACCCAUCUGCUGACACUGACAUACAGGACCUCUGGUUUCCUGGCCCUGCUUUCCUUGCUUAUAGAUGAGACCAAGGCCAGCUGCAGUGCAACACAGCCAGCUGGUGCAACUCAGGAGCCUUACCUGGGGUGCUCUACAGCCAAGUGGCUUGCCUGCUCACACUGGGAGCUGCGUUAACCUGCCUAGGCCAUGCAUGAGACGUAGGGUCCAAUUCCCACUGCAGGAUCAGAAGCUGGGUCUGGGACAGUGGUUCAGGCAGCUCCUGGUUGCGCACACUGAGAUACCAAAGCCAGCCGCCAGGCAGCAAAUCUCAGACAGAUGCCCCUUGAUGCUCCAUGCUGGUGUCUCUGAAGGGGCAGCCUCGUCUGGGCGGGUGUGAACUCCGAAGCUGGACACAGCUGCGGUGGAACCAGAGUUCAGACUAGAAAGCAUUGCUCCCGGGAAUCUACAUUGCCCUCAGAGGGCAGUGUGGCCAUUUCAGACAGGAGAACCCUGCUAUUACUGUCACUUGUAAAACAGAACGUAAACAGUCUAUGAAUGUAUUUCCUUAAGGAAGCCGUUGUAAAAAUUUUUAUUAGGAGGUUAUCUAUUUAUGUAAUACUGAACUUUGGCCUACUUUGUGGUACUGUAAUGUACACAAUUUAGAAAAUUGCUAUUUCUCUUCUGUAGUCUUCCUGAAAAUAAUUGUUACAGUGUUCAUUGUACUGUAUAUAUCACUCAUCUAUUACGAAAGGAAAUUUAAAGAAUUUCGUCCAAUCAAAUUGAGGUGGGUUUUAUGAGUGAUGAGCUGAGAGUGUAACUGGCCAAACCCUGGAUUCUCAUCACAAGUGAUAUGCCUUAAGGUCCCUCCGGACCCAUGUGCCAGUGCCUGCACAGGGAGCCCAUUACAGCCUCCAACACAGACUGCGUGACCAUUUUUUUUUUUUUUUUUU